GGAGUUGUGGCUCAGUGGUGGAGCACUCACCUAGCAUGUGUGAGAUCCUGGGUUCGACACUUAGCACCA
rnacentral:tRNA from 1 species